ACGGGGGGCCUACGGGAGGCAGCAGUGGGGAAUAUUGCACAAUGGGCGCAAGCCUGAUGCAGCCAUGCCGCGUGUAUGAAGAAGGCCUUCGGGUUGUAAAGUACUUUCAGCGAGGAGGAAGGCAUUAAGGUUAAUAACCUUGGUGAUUGACGUUACUCGCAGAAGAAGCACCGGCUAACUCCGUGCCAGCAGCCGCGGUAAU
rnacentral:rRNA from 1 species